UGGGGCGUCGCCAAGUGGUAAGGCACGAGACUUUGGAUCUCGCAAUCGGAGGUUCGAAUCCUCCCGCCCCAACCA
rnacentral:tRNA from 1 species